CACAAGUUUGAUUCUUGCUUAAAAUAUUUGCUUUUCAAUUGAUAACAUAUGAAAAUUUUGGUAUUCCAAAUUCAAUAAGUUUAAAACCUAAGGCCAUAUAACUCUCAGUGUGUAUUAUUUUUAUAUCAGUGAAAACUGGAUAAAGUAAAUUGAAUUAUCUCUGGCUAAAUUUUGUGCCAGCAGUCGCGGUUAUACUCAAAGGGAGAGUGAAUAAAAAUUGAUACCUAACUAUUAUGUUAACUAAUAACUUUUUUAAUUUUACAAAGAGUGAAAUCGACUUUUUAAAGAUAAAUAAAUUUAUACUAUAAAUUAAUAAGUUAACAAACAAAGGAAAUAAACUAGGAUUAGAUACCCUACUAUACCUUUCCAAAACAUCAAUAUCUGAUUAGUAACAGCUAUGAGCUCUAAAUUCAAAGAAUUUGGCGGUAUUUUAGUCUGAUUAGGGGAACCUGUCUUUUAAACGAUAAACCACGAAGAAUCUUACCUACUUUACUAUAGUUUGUAUACCGUCAUUUAGAUAACUUUUACAGAACAAGUUAUUGAAAUAAUACCAUUAAGAUAUUAGAUCAAGGUGCAGCAUAUAUUUAGGAUAAGAUGGGUUACAAUAAAAUUUAUAUUACCACGGAUAAGUUUCAGAAUAAAAACUUUAAAGGAGGACUUAAAAGUAAGGCUAAUUUAAUAAGAUAGCCUGAUUUUAGCUCUAAAAUGUGCACAUAUCGCCCGUCGCUUUCAUUGAUUCAAGAUGAGAUAAGUCGUAACAUAGUAGGUGUACUGGAAAGUGUACCUGGAAAGCA
rnacentral:ncRNA from 1 species